CCUACGGGCGGCAGCAGUGGGGAAUAUUGCGCAAUGGGCGAAAGCCUGACGCAGCGACGCCGCGUGAGGGAUGAAGGUCUUCGGAUCGUAAACCUCUGUCAGCAGGGAAGAACGGUCACUGUGCUAAUCAGCAGUGAAUUGACGGUACCGGCAAAGGAAGCACCGGCUAACUCCGUGCCAGCAGCCGCGGUAAUACGGAGGGUGCGAGCGUUAAUCGGAAUUACGGGGCGUAAAGCGCUCGUAGGCGGUAUGUCAAGUCAAGGGUGCCAUCCCCGCGCUCACCGUGGGAACUGCCUUUGAAACUGGCAAACUGGGGUGUGUGAGAGGAUAGUGGGCUUCCAGGUGUAGGAGUGAAAUCCGUAGAUAUCUGGAGGAACAUCAGUGGCGCAGGCGACUAUCUGGACCAUAACUGACGCUGGGGAGCGAACGCGUGGGUAGCAAACAGGAUUAGAUACCCGUGUAGUC
rnacentral:rRNA from 1 species